GGCUCAGGAUGAACGCUAGCGGCAGGCUUAACACAUGCAAGUCGAGGGGCAGCAUGAUUGAACUUUCGGGUUCGGUUGAUGGCGACCGGCGCAAGGGUGCGUAACGCGUGAGCAACUUGCCGUUCAGGGGGAUAACCGGUGGAAACGCCGACUAAUACCCCAUGGCAUCAUAUUGAGGCAUCUUUAUAUGAUUAAAGAAUUUCGGAAACGGAUAGGCUCGCGUGACAUUAGCUAGAUGGCGGGGUAACGGCCCACCAUGGCGACGAUGUCUAGGGGUUCUGAGAGGAAGGUCCCCCACACUGGAACUGAGACACGGUCCAGACUCCUACGGGAGGCAGCAGUGAGGAAUAUUGGUCAAUGGCCGGGAGGCUGAACCAGCCAUGCCGCGUGAAGGUCACGGCCCUAUGGGUCUUAAACUUCUUUUGUAAGGGAGCAAUAAGGUUCACGUGUGGACUGAUGAGAGUACCUUACGAAUAAGCAUCGGCUAACUCCGUG
rnacentral:rRNA from 1 species